CAAGUCAUAAUCAUAAUUAAUUCAAUUCAUGUUAAGUCAUACAUUUCCAAGGCCAUUCAUGUCAAGUUUCAAUCCAUUUACAAGUCAUAUUCCAUUCAAAUUACAAGUCAUGUUCAUUUAUUCCAUUUCAAUCCAAAUCCAAGCAUAUUCAUGGACAAGAUUCAAUUUCAAAACCUUUCAAACUCAUUCAAAUAACCAUUUACAAUCCAUUACAUUGUCCAUUCCAUGAGAAAAAAAUACAAAAAAUGAACUUUGACCAAAUGUUGACUUUGGUCAAUAUUUGACUUUUUGCUCAACUUUGACCAAAGUCAACUUAAUCAUUUUACAACCCAAAGUCCUAAAUCCUAUUCAUAACCUCCCAAAUUCCUACUUGAUAUUUUCCAUUUGUUAUGGAUAUUUCAAAUUUCAAACUUGAUGUCUUUCAUCUUUGCCGGCCUUGUACAUAAUUCACCUCAUGUGUGCACGACCAUGUGCUGCCAAACCAUGCCAUAGGUAGAUAAUAAGGGAAGCCCCGCCAGCAUUAAAUUCAAAAUCAGAUCAGAAUCAAAUAUAUGCUACAACAAUGCAUGUGACCUAGCUGCAAUGCAAACCUAAACCAGAAUUGAACUUAUGCAAACCAUGCCAAAAUGCAGAACUUAGCAAAACAAGGCAAGGCAUGAAAUGCAAUCACAAUGCAUGUGACCUAGCUGCAAUGCAAACCUAAACCAGAAUUGAACUUAUGCAAACCAUGCCAAAAUGCAGAACUUAGCAAAACAAGGCAAGGCAUGAGAUGCAAUCACAAGUCAUGACCUGAUUCAUACUUGUAAACAAGCCAAUGGACCAUGAGGUCGUUCUGCAGAAACCAUCCAAACAUUGGCCAAUUUUUAACCAUAAACCAAGACCUACCACUUCAUUACCAACAAACCUGCAUUACAAAGUCAUAAUACACAUUCUACACUAUAAAACACAAAGGAAAAAAAACCAUGAAACACCUACAAUGCAUCAGGGUCAAAUUCAGCCAACACAAUCUGAACUUAACCAUUCACUAAACCACAUUACUGGACAAAACCUAACAUUCACAAAAUUUAACUCAGAAAAACAUAACUAACUUAGCCUAAGGGAUCUGCAAAACAAAAUAACUAAUCCAGAACUACCCUAACAGAAUUCGCAACUACCUCACAAUUCCCUCCUAACAAAACUGUCAGAACAUAAUGAACCAUUGGGAACUUCAAUUAUGAACCUCCUCUUCAUUCAACAAACCCCUUAUAAUUCCAAAAAUUCCCUCCAACUUCCUCCACCACCCGAACUUCAUCAUAAUAGAACCCAAAAACUUCACUCUGCAACACCCUCCACAACCACUGAGAAUGAUCUUCAUCUUCAUCACUCACCCUCAACCUUCAUAACUUCAACUUCUUCACACUCGAACGUCUAGAACUUCGAAUGUUCAACAAUUCCUAACCAACUACAACCACUCCCUUAACCAAUUUCAGAAACCUGCAAAAAACGAAAAUUCAAGAACACCCUCACUCACCAUCAGCUUCACUCUUCAGCCGAAACACAACCUUUAACCCUCCACCUUUCAACGAUAACACUCAGAGAAGAAGAACAAGAAAAACUAAAAAAGAAGAGAAAAGGUAAGAAGCGAAGGAAAACGGAAGCGCAUAAACAAAGGGGAGCGAUUACCCGGAGCUUGCGCAGAAUCUGGUAUGUCGUUCGUACGUGAGGAUUCGCUGAAGGUCGUGUGUUUAGAUCCAUGAAUAUCCUUAGCAAGUUCUGAAGGUUCAUGUUGGUAUUGAACCCGGGUUGGAAAGAUGAGAGAAUUGGGCUUUCAUACGUCCCAAGAGCUUCAUGUCCCAAGCAAACCAUGGCUUCAAACACCCCUCAAUGUUUAUGCACCCCAGACCCAUGUUCAUAUUAACCUUUUUCUUAAUUCUCUCUUAAUCCAUGAUUAGGGUUUUUAAUGUAUUUUAAUUUUGUUUAUUUUCAUCUGAUUAAUCUUGAUUUUAGAAAAAAGGUAAAUUUCUUGAUUUUAGAUUUUGGAUAUUAGGAAUUUUUGUUGAUUUUAGUUUAAUCCAUAAUUAGAUUUAAUUAGGCGAUUAGUUAGAAAUUAGGUCUAAUUAAAAAAUUUAGAUUAGAUUUAGUUUUUUGAAAUUCCUGAAUUAAUUCAUAAAUCAUUAACCUUGCCAUGAUUAGAAUUUAGACAUUAGGUUUUGAUAUUUCUUUUGGUGGAUUUUGUUGUGAUUAAUAUGGUUAACAUGUGAUUUUACCAUGAUUAGACAUUAGGUUAAUUUUCAUUCAAUUUUACUAUUGUAUGAUGAUUGCUCAUAUCCAUGUGGAUUAGAUUACAUUCUUGAUGUAGAUUGUUAAUUUUCCAUUUGAUUAAUUUUGAUCAUAAUUCAUGUUUAGUUAGAUUUUAAUCUUUAGAAUUAAUAUUUAUUUUUAAUUGUCCAUUUAAUCAAUUCAUUUGGUUUGUGAUCAUAUUGAUAAAUUAAAAAUCUCAUUUCAAUUUAGGUGAUGAAUGCUUUGUAUGUCUAAUUUCAUUUGCCAUUAUCACAUGAUAGAUCUUUGAUUACUUUUCAUUGAUUAAUCCAUUGCCACUUGAAUUGAUUUAAACCACUGAAUGUGCUUACGUUUGUUGCAUCAUUCUCAUUUGACUUGAUAUCAUGCUAACCCCAUUUGUUGUUUUGUGUUUCUACAUGUGACAUUGAGAUUCAAGCAUACUUCUAACUAGCCUUGCAUCUAACCAAUUCAUUCUCAUCCAAUAGUCUUGUAUUGUUUGAAACGUCAUGCCACUUGUAUGUUUUAGACAUGGUACAUAGUUUGUAACUUGUAUUUUCUUUCCAUUUCCAUUUGUAUUGUGUGGAUCCAUCCCCCCAUACCAUAAACAUGUAACACUCUAUGUUUAUUUCUUUUAGUAUUGCAUCAUGCAUGCUAACUAAAAAGAUAAAAAUAAGCGAUAAAACAAAACUUUUCAAAAGACAAAAAGCAUACUUUAUCCAACGUCAAAUGUUUUCCAAAUAAAAUCACACAAAGCAACACGAGUGCUUGAUUCAACGUUAAGUAUCUCAUCCACUCCAUCCCUUCUUUCCCAUCUCUUCCUCAACCUCUCACCACUUCAUAAAAUAUCAAUAAUAAACCCUUGAUCCAACGUUAAGCGGUAUUUUUUCAAACAAAAUUUAAAACAUAAUAAAAUACGAUUAGGGUUGUAUGUCACGAGCCUUAAGUGGUAGAUAAGGGAUGAGAAUGGAGCUUUCCGGCAUUCAUUAUGAGUAUUUUGAACACAAGACACUUGGCUUGGUAGUUCGAGAUAUUCACCUAUACUCAUAGUCUUUAGUGCAAUCCGAAGUCAAGAACAAUCUCUCUUCAAAACAUAAAAUCAAUAUUAACUCAUCAAACCUUUUGUUUGAGCCUUAGGGAAUCACUUUGAAAACCCUUUUCAAGGUAUUAAAUCAACAAAACAAACAAAUAUUUUGUACCAUGAACUACGAGGCUCUAAUUACUCACUUCGACAAGUGGGCAUACGUAGGCACGAGGACCCAAAUCCUUGGCGAGCACAUUAAUAAAAUAUCCAUUUUUACUCCAUAAACCUUUAGCAAGUAAGCAUUAAGAUAACGAUACUCAUUCAAGCAUAGAUAUCCUAGAUGUUUCCUAUAUAGUACGAUGGAUGUGAGGGGUGCUAAUACAUUCCCCUUGCAUAACCGACUUUCGAACCUGUUCGUGAUUGUGAUGACCAUUCUUUUGAGGUUUUAUCGAUAUUUUCCCUUUUCUUUGGAAUAAAUAAAAACCGAUGGCGACUCUGUAUUUUUCGCGUAGCGACAGGCAUCAUACAGAUACUCAGGACUAGUUUGCUACAGUAAGUUGAAGGUAUCUCUUGGAGUGGCUUUCUGUAGUUGUCGUUUCUUUUAGUAGGGUCUUGCUCUGGUCAAUGUAACAUCAGGUUGGGGACGUUUUGUUUUAAUUUCUUUUGUCUUAGUGAGUUUGUCAUUGUGUUUCAAUGAGGUUUAAAUGGUGAUGAUGUGAACAUCACGAUAAUUGUUAUUGCAUUAUGAGAUUUAAUACCUUGAAUUGCAAUUGUAAAUUAUUUUGAUUGAUUCUGCUACAAUGAUACCCCAAGUGAACGUGAGCAAGCAAUGGCAGGUGUUGUGUGAUAAGUUUUGUAACCCGUGUUAUGGAGCAUGACUAAAUUUUGGUGUGCGUUACAACUCCUCAUACUACUUUUAGGAUUAUCGACUGACCUCACUAACCAACACAGGUCUUUUCAGCAGGUUUUGUCCUCACUCACACGCUUUCCUGGAAACUUCCCAGAAGGUCACCCAUCCAAAUACUACUCUAAGUCAAGCACGUUUAACUAUGGAGUUCUUAUCUGUUAGGAUACCGAAAAGAAGAUGCAUUUUGUUUUAGGAAACCUAACAGAUAAGAACUCCAUAGUUAAGUGUGCUUGACUUGGAGUAGUAUUUGGAUAGGUGGCCUUCUGGGAAGUUUUUCGGAAAGCGUAUAAGUGAGGACAAAGUAUGCUGAAAAGACUCGUGUUGGUUUGUGGGGUCAGUCGAUAAUUCUGAAAGUAGUUUGAGGUGUUACAGUUGGUAUCAGAGACAGGCCUCUCCUAGUACAAUGUGGUUCGGGGAUGAACCAAGCAGAAGCUAGUGGGCAUGUAACACCUGAGGUCGAAGAGGGAAGAAAAUGGUUACAUGUAAUACCCGAGGGAGAGGGAAUGGUUAUCGGUGUACGAGGCAUGACAAUGAGACACUCCUAGCAGCUUCUAGGGAAAACCCGAAUUCACAUCAGAAUGAGAGGGAUCCUAAGGUUGUUCAGGUAUGGGACUGCAUGGUUGAAGGAAUGCUUAUAAGGAUUAAUUAGUACUACUUAUACCAACAAGAUGCAUCUUCUUUUCGGUAUCCUAACAGAUAAGAACUCCAUAGUUAAGCGUGUUUGGCUUGUAGUAUUAUGUGGAUGGGUGACCUUCUGGGAAGUUUUCCAGAAAGCGUGUGAGUGAGGAUAAAGCAUGUUGAAAAGACUCGUGUUGGUUUGUGGGGUCAGUCAGUAAUCCUGAAAGCAGUUUGGGGCGUUACAUGCGUGACACCCUUGUAGUCGUAUUUUCGAUCAAAUUAUGCAUUAAAGUUAUGUGCGGGGUUUAGGGUGUUACACAACUCAAUACAUUUUGGAAAAUGAUUCAAUUUUUCAUACUAUUUCCUGUAUAAUAUGCAACCAUUACAAAAUGCAUGUAUUUUGAUUUACUCCAUACAUAUUGGAUACUACCUUCUUGGCCUCAUAACUACGGUCUGACAAAUUGGUAUCUACCGGUAGCAUUUAUUUUAGCAAAUCAAACAAUUUUGUGAAACUUUUAUCCGUCCAUCCACUUUUGUCUGCAGAUUAAACAAUUUUAACACCACAAAUAAUCGUGUACGAUUUGUGCACCCUUUAUAUAACGGUGCAUCCUUGUCACUACAUAAAAUAUCAUAAAUAUGGACUUUACUAAAAUAAGAUUCUUCAAUAUCACGAAUCAUAUCUUCUAGCCGAUCAUCCAUAUCUACAUCAACUUUAUAUCUUUGUGACAUCACCGUUUAUUUUUUCUACUUCACCAUGCCACGUUCAUAUUGUAUAAUUUUGAAAAAUUAUAUCAUAACAAAGGUGAUGAAAUUUUUCUUUCUUUAAAAACUUUUUAAUAUUCUCGCAUAUAACACAAGGAUAAUAAAAGAUUUCAUUAUUGUCAGGAAGAUUUUUUUCACGUAUUCAAGGAAUUCAAGAACUCCUUUAUCAUACACCAGACCUAAUUUAUCAACUUUCACUCAACUAUAAUCCAUAUUACAUUCUGAAAUUUAUAUCAAAAGCUUAUAAAAUCAUUUAACAAUACAAUAAUACAACAAUACAACACCAACAUUCUUAAUACAACAAAUUAUUAAAUAAAAUUUCAACAACUACAACAAUAAUAUAUACCAUAAUACAACAAUACAACAACAACAUUGUCAACAACAUUAUAAUAAUCUCAACGCAACAACACAAAUAAGAAUGAAACAACUAUUACAACAAUAUAUAAUAAUCUCAACAACUCAUAAACAAAUCUCAAUCUCACUCAAUCACAACAACAUACAACAUUAAACAAUAACAAAACCUAUAACUAUCUCAACAAAUAGUAAAAAACUAAAACUUAACAUGAAUGUUGAUGAAAUAGAUAACGUAUCACAAUUGAGAAGAAGAUGAAGAGACAGAGAAAUGAAUUUUAUGUACGAUUCUUGAAGUUUUGUCUUUCCACUCCUUGAUCCGAACCAGAAAUGAUGGAGUUUGAUUGGUCUUUGUUAUCACUUUCUUUUGUUCUUUCGCUAGGACACUUGUGUUAUGAAGGAAAUAAACUAAAACAUGUUAUGUUUUAAUUUUCGAGAAACACUUUACACCACAAUUAUAAAAAAGUUAUUGUAGUUUUAUAUUAUACAUAUUACCAUAGUUUCCAAGAGCAACCGUGGUGAAAUUAUUUAGGGAUUUUUCUAUAAAACAUAACAAAUACGCCAUUCAACUCUUUAUUAAAUCUAACUCAUCUCACUUUCAACUUGCAUAUUCCAUUCUUUAAAGAUUAAUACAAUAUAUUGAACAACUUUAUUUAAAGAUUAAUGUUAAAAUUCACUUUAUCAAGUAAACGAUAUGUUUGAAUCUUAACAUUAAUCUUUAAUGCUAAAAUUUUCAAGAUAUAGAAAAAAUGAAUGAAGAUAUUGUACACAAAGCGUACAUGAGAAUUAAAAAAUGGCGUCUCUAAAAAUAUAAAUUAUGUUAUUGUGAAAACUAAAUUCUUUGCGAUUUGUGAAGACUAAAUUCUCUCUGAGUUUGUGAAAACUAAAACUCAUUGAGACUAAAAAAAUGAACGCCACAUUUCACUAUGGAUGGUUGAAUUGACGGUGAUAAAAAAAUAUUUUUUUUUAAAUAUAAAAAAUUAAGGAAGACGUCUUUUUUAUCAUACAAAAAAAUGAAAAAUUGCUGGUGCAUAUAAUCGAAACUAAUAAUCUUUAACUUAUCAUCACGAUUAUAUAUUGUAACGAGAUGAAAAUAUUUUAUUAAGUAAAUUAAAAAUUAAUACCUCUAAAUAAGAGUUAUUAUUCGAUUGAUUUAAAAACCAAAAUAAUAAAAUAUUAUAAAAUAUAUAUUUUGUAACGGCGAACUUCUCUAUUUUUUUUAGUAAUGUCCCUAAAAAAUCUUAUAUUUUCCUUCCCUCUCAUAAACAAAGUCUUCGAUACCAACUAACAUCUAUAACAUCGGUCAUAUAUUAUUGAAAAAUAUUUAAAAUAUUUUUAUUUGACUAUUAUCUUUGUAUAAUGCAAAAUCACUAAUCCUAGUUUCAGUUUUAGAUGCAUCUCAAAAUCACAUUGUUAGUUGAUACAGAUCUAUCUUUUCCAUUAUAUAUUAUGAUAUAUAAUCAAUAAUAUAUAUAAUAGUCAUAUAUAUAUAUAUAUAAUAUAUAUAUAUAUAUAUAUAUUAUAUUAUAUAUAUAUAUAUAUAUAUAUAUAUAUAUAUAUAUAUAUAUAUAUAUAUAUAUAUAUAUAUAUAUAUAUAUAUAUCUAUAUAUAUAUGAGAUUAAUUACUAUACACUGUCAGUGUAAAAUGUUUUACACAAUCGAUUCAUCACCAUCACCCGUUUGUAUUACUUUAAGAUUUUUAAAAUAAAAGUCAAACUUUGUUCAACAUUCAACGACUAUGAUUAACUGACAGUGUAAAAUCAUUUUACAUCGUCAGUGUAUUCAAUUAAAUUAAUAUAUAUAUAUAUAUAUAUAUAUAUAUAUAUAUAUACUAUAUAUAUAUAUAUAUAUAAUAUAUAUAUAUAUAUAGUAUAUAUAAUAUAUAUAUAUAUAUAUAUAUAUAUAUAUAUAUAUUAUAAAUCCCUUCUAUAAUCUUAUGUGUAUUUGUACCAUGUUUAUGAAUAAAUAUUUUCCCAUAUUAUUAUACUUAUUUUGUCUUUAAGGAUCAAGCUCAAAUUAGAAGAAUUUUAUUUUAUUUUGGUGCAUGGCUUGAAUACCCCCAAUUACUUCUAUUAAAAUUAAGUAAUUAAUCAACAUAAUAAAAGUACUCCAAAGACAACAAUUAAUUGCAAGCUUAAGCUAAAGUAUCGGAGAAAAUAGUAUAAAGGGUAUAUGUUUUGUUGAGAGUCUUCCACCAAAAAUAUAGGAUCACAAACAUGAACCAGAACACCCUUGAUUUCAAAUUGUUUUUGUUAGAACUUAAAAUCACAUAUCAAUAAAUUUUCUAAUUGAUUGAUUUUUGACAAAUACAAGAAACACAACAUGGAUGCCACUCACACAAUGUUUUGUGAAAAUGAUAUUGUUAACCCUCUAAGCUCAAUUGGCAUGCAACUUUCAUGCAUUCUUGUUGUGUCACAUUUCUUCAAUGUGCUGCUUAGAAGUUUGGGCCAACCAGGACCUAUUGCACAAAUUCUGGUAAUCAAUCAACAACUUUUUAUUUCACAUGCAUCCACAUUAUAAAAAUAUUAUUAUCAUAGACAUAGACACAACACCGACACUGGUAAUAAUUUUAAAAAAUAAAUAAAUUAAACAUAAUUACAAGUGUCGGUGUUGUGUCGGUAUCGUAUCUGACACAAACAUGGACACGAAGAUGCCUCUUUUCAUAAGUGUCGGUAGUACAAAGCUUUUAACUGAUUAAAAUUGUGCAUUUCAUUGUUCAACAGGCUGGGUUGAUACUAGGGCCAAUGUCACAUAUACCGUACAUAAGAAAAACAUUCUUCCCACCAAGUUCAAUAAAUUACUAUGAAGUUGUGGGCUUCUUCUGCCGCAUACAUUUCAUGUUCUUAUUCGGUUUAGAGACAAACAUUCAGUACACAUUGCGUAAUCUACGUUUGGUCACCUUGAUAGCAUGUGGUGGUGCCCUAGUUGGCGCAAUUUUCGGUCUAUCAGUCUCAUUUUAUUUGUAUCAAAACCUAAAUCUGAAUCUCAACAUUUAUUAUUUCUGCAUGGUCAUCAUGUUAAUGGUAUCAUACACGAGCUCCCCGAUGGUGAUCCGUUUAUCAGCUGAGUUACGUUUUGCAGCGUCUAAUAUCGGGCGAAUCGCGGUGUCCUCCGCAUUGAUAACCGAAAUGGGUUGCUUGUUAUUCUUUGACGUAGUGGUUUGUUGGACAAAAUCAAACCACAUUUCCAAUGGUUUUCUCUGUACUAUCACUAUAUCUUUCGUGAUUCUGAUUAACAAAUACUUAUCUGUAUGGUUAAACUCGAGAAACCGAUGCCAAAAAUACCUCAAAGCCGCUGAGUUAUUACUCAUUCUUUUUGUUCUUCUAACUAGUUCAAUGGUUAUAGAAAUUUUGGGUUACAAUAGUAUUAUUAGUUGUUUUAUAAUUGGAUUGUUGUUUCCUAAAGAAGGUAAAACAGCUAGGACAUUGAUAUAUAAACUUGGUUAUUCAAUUUACAAUUUUGUUCUUCCUAUUUAUUUUGGGUAUAUGGGUUUACAAUGUGACCUCAUACAAGUGUUCCGAAGCUUGAAUAAAACAACAGAUACUGCAAUAUUGAUUUUGUUGUGCAUUGGUAGCAAACUUGGUGGCACACUUUUGGUUUGUCGAUACCUUAAUAUUCCUACAAGUGAAGGGAUUUUUAUUGGCUUCAUAAUGAAUACUAGAGGUUAUGCUGAUUUGUUGUUCAUUGCUUCUAUAGCAAAACAUUCAAUUGUGAGUAUAAUUCUUGCUUCAUUUAAUGUACUAACUCAUUACUACAAAUCAUAACACAGAGACACCAGACACAGACACAUACACAAUCUUUGUCUAAUUUAAUGCUCGUUACACACUCUUUGUCUAAUUUAAUGCUUGUUGCUAUGAAGCACAUACACUGACACUAACAUGUUUUUUUCUAGAGGUGUUGAUUCUACAAAGAUUUAUUGUCUAGUUUAAUGCUCAUUGUUAUAAAGCACAAAGCACAUACACAAGACACAUACACUAUACAUGAACACGUCUUUUUUUAGAGGUGUUAUGCUAAAGAGACUCGUUGUCUAAUUUAAUAUUUAUUUACAUUUACAGGAUCUCGACGUAGAAGCUUACAAUAUGUUGAUAGUAUCGAUAAUAUUGAACACAGUUAUAUCAGGAAUAGUUGUGGCUUUUCUAGCAAAAGGGGAAGCGAAAAUGUUUUCGAACAACCAUACUACAAUUGAACCUCAACAAGUGGAAGACGAGCUUCGGAUUUUGGCUUGUGUAUACGAUCCUCGACAAGUAUCUGCAGUACUUGCCACAAUACUAGCAAUGCAUGGCUCAAGAACAUCGCCUUCCACGACUUAUUUAAUGCAUCUUAUAGAGCUCGUGAAGAAAAUCAAGUCCAAUUUGUUAUACCAUGAAAAAGAAAAUGGAAGCCUUAGCGAUGACGAAGAUUCCUAUGGUGGAAAUGAUGUGGUGGACAUUAAUAAUGCCUUAGAUGCAUUCACUUUAGAUACAAAGAUUUUGAUUCACCAAAAAAAGACGGUAUCUUGUUUUCCAAGUAUGUAUGAAGAUGUUUGCAAUGAAGCAGAAGAUCUUAAAGCGACAAUAAUUCUUAUCCCUUUUCAUAAACACGAGCGUAUUGAUGGAAAACUCGAGAGUGGAAAAGAAAGUAUAAUAGUUACUAAUCAGAAGAUUCUCAGGCACGCGCCUUGCUCUGUUGGUGUGAUCAUUGAAAGAGGCCUUACUAAGACAUUUGGUUUCUCAGAACUAAUUGAGUCAGAAGCCACACAAAAUGUUGCAACACUUUUCUUCGGAGGUCCAGAUGAUCGCGAGGCUAUUGCUUGGAGCCUAAGAAUCUCCAAAUGCCCUCAUAUCAACUUGACAAUUAUCAGAUUUUUGCCAUUGUCCGCUUCAUCAAAAAAUGAAUUGAUUAACAAAAACGAAGUACAAUACGAUGAAAAGGAAAUUCUGAUGUCCUUGUCAGGGGAAGAGAGUGAGAACGACGAGAUUGACAAUACGUUCAUGGUCGAUUUCUAUAACCGGCAUGUGACUUUAGGACAAAUCAGAUAUGUGGAAAAUUUUGUGAGGGAUGGAAAGCAAACAUUGGAAUGUUUGAAAGAUGUUGGAGACAUGUACUCUUUGUUUGUAGUUGGAAAAGGUGGUAGAAGAAAUAACUCAUUAACAAUAGGUAUGAGUGAUUGGGAGGAAUGUCCCGAACUUGGAACAGUUGGUGAUGUGUUGGCUUCUUCAGAUUUUGAUAUUCAUGGAUCAGUUUUGGUCAUUCAACAACAUAGAGAUGCUAAGAAAGGCUUAAUACAUUAUUAGUUAUAUGUACAAAUAUAAUAACAUUUAGAUUUAUUCAUUUACUUAUAUUUAUGAACAUAGUUUGCACAUAUGAUUUUGUAUAAGGUGAUGUAAAUUACAUUGUUGAAAAAUAUGGAGAUAUUUUGUUCAUGAGAUUAGCCAUAAUGAUUCAUGUGUUGGUGAUUGGAAGCUAUUGAUAGUUAAAAACCAUUCAUUGGAAUGAAGUUCUAAUCAAAGAAAAAUGUAUAUUCAUUCUACAUUAGUUAUGCUAAAUCUGCUAGGGUUGGAGUUUUGAUUAAAAUUAGUUGUGUUCAAAGGUUUCUAUGGAGUAUUUUGAUAUUACAUAUGUUGUUGUUUGAAUUAGAGUGUGAAGCUAGCCUAUAUAUUAAAAUAAAUUAUGAUGAAAAAUAGAUUUUUCACGGUUUCAUUAAAGAUCACAAUCAUGAUCUUUUUUUACCAUAUGCACAUUUUCUUACAAUAAAAUAAUUAUUAAAUCUCAAAAGAAUUGAAUUGAGAGUAUGACUUUUGAAAUAGGCCAUGAGAGUGAAACUCUCCCAUCUCUCUAACCAGCUUUGAGUAUCAGCAAGUUUCAACAAAAACUCUUAUUUUAGUAUUUUGGGGAUAUUUAUGAGGUUAUUAUCCCUUCUAAGCGUGAUAUCAGAGGAAACCAUUACGGUUUUGUUAGGUUCUUUAAUGUUAAGGAUGACAACCUUCUGGCAGUUAAAUUGGACAAUAUUUUAUUUAGUAGUAGAAAGCUUUUCGCUAACCUUCCAAGGUUCCAAAGGAGUCGUGAGAAGGUACAUAGCUAUAAUAGGAUUCUGGUUGGGGGAAGUAGGCAAACUCAUUUUUAGCAUAAACAUUUCAACAAGAAGGAACGUAAAUCCUUUGUUAAGGUAGUAAAGUCGUCACAUACUCCAAGUUCCUGAAAGUGAUCUUGCUAGGUUUAUGAAAUUCUCUGUUGGUAUUGUUGAAAAUCCAAACAUGUCUUACAAUAUGCAAGAGAUCUUUAACUCUGGGGUUCUUUGCUAUUCAGGUGACACCUUUGGGUGCAAAUCUAUGUCUACUUAAAUUAGAGUUGAUGGUGAUUUACAUUCGUUAAUGGUGGAGGAGAAAGAUUAGUUAUCUUGUUAGAUUGGAGGAGAAAUAUAUGCGUUAAGACACAAAUCUAUUUGCUAUAGCAAUAAAGUGCUCCCUCGUGAUACAAUAAAUAUUCAUUUUCUUUAUAUAUAUACCCCUAUAAAUCUUAUGUGUAUUUAUACCAUGUUUUUGGAUAAAUAUUUUCACAUAUUGUUAUACUUAUUUAGUCUUCAAGGAUCAAACUCAAAUUAGGAGAAUUUUAUUUUAUUUUGGUGCAUGGCUUGAAUACUCCAAUUACUUAUAUUAAAAUUAAGUGAUUAAUCAACAAAAUAAAAGUACUCCAAAGACAACUUACAAGCUUAAGCUAAAGUAAAGGAGCAAAUAGUAUAAAGGGUAUAUGUUUUGUUGAGAGUCUCCCACCAAAAAUAUAGGAUCACAAACAUGAACCAGAACACCUUUUAUUUCAAAUUGUUUUUGUUAGAACUUAAAAUCACAUAUCAAUAACUUUUCUAAUUUAUUGAUUUUUGAUAAACACAAGAAACACAAAAUGGAUGCUACUCACACUAUGUUUUGUGACAAUGAUAUUUUUAACUCUCUAAGCUCAAUUGGCAUGCAAGUUUCAUGCAUUCUUGUUGUGUCACAUUUCUUCAAUGUCCUCCUUAGUAGUUUGGGUCAACCAGGAUCUAUUGCACAAAUUCUGGUAAUCAAUCAAUAACCUUUUAUUUCAUAUGCAUCCACAUUAUAUAAAUCUUACUAUUAUAGACAUAGACAUGACAUCGACACUGGUAAUAAUUUUAAAAAAUAAAUAAACUAAACGUAAUCACAAAUGUCGGUGUUGUGUCGGUAUCGUAUCUGACACAAACAUGGACAUAGAGACGCCUCUUUUCAUAAGUGUCGGUGCUACAAAGAUUUUAACUAUUUUAACUAAUUAAUUAUGCAUUCCAUUGUUCAACAGGCUAGGUUGAUACUAUGGUCAAUGUCACAUAUAUCAUACAUAAGAAAAACAUUCUUCCCACCAAGUUCAAUAAAUUACUAUAAAGUUGUGGGCUUCUUCUGCCGCAUACAUUUCAUGUUCUUAAUCAGUUUAAAGACAAACUUUAGUACAUAUUGUGCAAUCUACGUUUGGCCACAUUGGUAGCAUGUGGUGGUGCCUUAGUUGGUGCAAUUUUCGGUCUAUCAGUCUCAUUUUAUUUGUAUCAAAAUAUAAAUCUGAAUGUCAAUAUUUAUUAUUUUUGCAUGGUCAUCAAGUUAAUGGUAUCAUACACGAGCUCCCCGAUGGUGAUCCAUUUAUCGAUCGAGUUACAUUUCACAACGUCUAAUAUCAGGCGAAUGGCGGUGUCCUCCGCAUUCAUAAUCAAAAUGGGCUGCUUGUUGUUCUUUGACGUAGUGGUUUGAUGGAAAAAAUCAAACCAUAUUUCCAAUGGUUCUUUAUUAAUAAAUACUUAGUCGUAUGUUAAACUCGAUAAACCGAUGCCAAAAAUACCUCAAAGCCCCUGAGUUAUUACUCAUUCUUUUUGUUCUUUUAACUAGUUCAAUCGUUAUAGAAAUUUUGGGUUACAAUAGUAUUAUUAGUUGUUUUAUAAUUGGAUUGUUGUUUCCUAAAGAAGGUAAAACAACUAGGACAUUGAUAUAUAAACUUGGUUAUUCAAUUUAUAAUUUUGUUCUUCCUAUUUAUUUUGGGUAUAUGGGUUUACAAUGUGACCUCAUACAAGUGUUUCGAAGCUUGAAUAAAACAGCAGAUACUACAAUAUUGAUUUUGUUGUGCAUUGGUAGCAAACUUGGUGGCACACUUUUGGUUUGCUGAUACCUUAAUAUUCCUACAAGUGAAGGGAUUUUUAUUGGAUUCAUAAUGAAUGCUAGAGGUUAUGCUGAUUUAUUGUUCAUUGCUAUUGUAGCAAAACACGCAGUUGUGAGUAUAUUUCUUGCUUUAUUUAAUGUACUAACUCAUUGCUAAAAAUCACAACAUAGAUACGUACACAAUCUUUGUCUAAGUUAAUGCUCGUUACACACUCUUUGUCUAAUUUAAUGCUCGUUGCUAUGAAGCAUAGACACUGACACUAACAUGUUUUUUUCUAGAGGUGUUGAUUCUACAAAGAUUUAUUGUCUAGUUUAAUGCUCAUUAUUAUAAAGCAUAAAGCACAUACACAAGACACAUACAUUAUACACGAACUCGUCUUUUUUUAGAGGUGUUGAUGCUAAAGAGACUCGUUGUCUAAUUUAAUAUUUAUUUACAUUUACAGGAUCUCGACGUAGAAGCUUACAAUAUGUUGAUAGUAUCAAUAAUAUUGAACACAGUUAUAUCAGGAGUAGUUGUGGCUUUUCUAGCAAAAGGGGAAGCAAAAAUGUUUUCGAACAACCAUAGUACAAUGAACCUCAACAAAUGGAAGACGAGUUUCGAAUUUUGGCUUGUGUAUACGAUUUUCGAUAAGUAUCUACAGUACUUGCCAAAAUACUAGAAAUGCAUGGCUCAAGAACAUCACCUUCCAUGACUUAUUUAAUGCAUCUUUUAUAGCUCGUGAAGAAAAUCAAGUCCAAUUUAUUAUACUAUGAAAAAUAAAACGGAAGCCUCAGCGGUGACGAAGAUGCCUACAGUGGAAAUGAUGUGAUGGACAUUAAUAAUGCCUUAGAUUCAUUCACUUUAGAUACAAAGAUUUUGAUUCACCAAAAAAAGAUGGUAUCUUAUUUUCCAAGUAUGUAUUAAGAUGUUUGCAAUGAAGCGGAAGAUAUUAAAGUGACAAUAAUUCUUAGCCCUUUUCACCAACAAGAGCGCAUUGAUGGAAAACUCGAGAGUGGAAAAGAAAGUAUAAUAGUUACUAAUCAGAAGAUUCUCAGGCACACUCCUUGCUCCGUCGAUGUGAUAAUUGAAAGAGGCCUUACUAAGACAUUCAGUUUCUCAAAACUAAUUGAAUCAAAAGCCACGCAAAAUGUUACAACACUUUUCUUUGGAAGUUUAGAUGAUCGUGGGGCUAUUGCUUGAAGCCUAAGAAUCUCCAAAUUCCCUCAUACCAACUUGAUAAUUAUCAGAAUUUUGCCAUUGUUUGCUUCAUCACAAAAUGAACUGAUUAAUGAAAAUAGAGUACACUACAACGGAAAGAAAUUUUAAUGUCCUUGUCAGGGGAAGAGAGUGAUAACGACGAGAUUGAUAAUAUGUUCAUGGUCGAUUUCUAUAAUUGACAUGUGACUUUAAGAUAAAUCAGAUAUGUGGAAAAUUUUGUGAGGGAUGGAAAGCAAACAUUGGAAUGUUUGAAAUAUGUUGGAAACAUGUACUCUUUGUUUGUAGUUGGAAAAGGUGGUAGAGGAAAUAACUCACUAACAAUAGGUAUGAGUGAUUAGGAGGAAUGUCCAGAACUUGGAACAAUUGGUGAUUUGUUGGCUUCUUCAAAUUUUAAUAUUCAUGGAUCUGUUUUGGUCAUUCAACAACAUAAAGAUGCUAAGAAGGGCUUAAUACAUUAUUAGUUAUAUGUUAAAAUACAAUAACAUUAGAUUUAUUCAUGUGCUUAGAUUUAUGAACAUAGUUUGCACAUGUGAUUUUGUUUAAGGUGAUAUAAAUUACAUUCUUGAAGAAAAUGGAUAUCUUUUGUUGAUGAGAUUAGCCAUAAUGAUUUAUGUGUUGGUGAUUAGAAGCUAGUGAUAGUUAAAAACCAUUCACUGGAAUAUAAUUUUAAUCAAAGAAAAGUGUAUAUUCAUUCUACAUUAGUUAUGCUAAGUUUGCUAGGUUUGGAGUUUCGAUUAAAAUUAGUUGUGUUCAAAGGUUUCAAUGGAGUUUUUUGAUAUUACAUAUGUUGUUGUUUGAAGUUGUAGUGUGAAGAUAACCUAUAUAUUAAAAUAAUGAAUGAUGAAAAAUAGAUUUUUCACGGUUUCAUUAAAGAUCACAAUCAUGAUCUUUUUCUACCAUUUGCAUAUUAUUAUUUUUACAAUACAAGAAUUAAUAAAUCUCAAAAGAAUUGAAUUGAGAUUAUGACUUUUGAAAUAGGCCAUGAGAGUGAAACUCUCGCUUCUCUCUAACCAGCUUUGAGUAUCAGCAAGUUUCAACAUGAACUCUUUUUUUAGUAUUUUGGGGAUAUUUAUGAGGUUAUUAUCCCUUCGAAGCGUGAUAUCAAAGGAAAACAUUAUGGUUUUGUAAGGUUCUUUAAUGUUAAGGAUGACAACCUUCUGGCAGUUAAACUGGACAAUUUUUUCUUUGGGAGUAGAAAGCAUUUCGUUAACCUUCUAAGGUUCCAAAGGAGUCGUGAGAAGGUAUAUAGCUAUAACAGGAAUCUGGUUGGGGGAAGUAGGCAAACUCCUUUUUAGCAUAAACAUUUCAACAAGAAGAAAGGUAAAUCUUUUGCUGAGGUAGUAAAAGCGUCACAUGCUCCAAGUUCCUGAAAGUGAUAUUGCUAGGUUUAGGAAAGCCUCCAUUGGUAUUGUUGAAAAGCCAAGCUUGUCUUACAAUAUGAAAGAGAUCUUUAACUCUUGGGAUUCUUUAUUAUUCAGGUGACACCUUUGGGUGCAAAUCUAUGUCUACUUAAGAUAAAGUUGAAGGUGAGUUACAAUCGUUAAUGGUGGAGGAGAAAGAUUAGUUAUCUCGUUAGUCUAGUGAAGUGCGUCCAUGAAAACUAGAAAAUGUAGAUGAUACUAGAGUAGCAUGGAUAUGAUGUUAUGGUAUUCCUUUCCAAGCAUGGAAUACAUGAUUUUUUGAUGCACUGGUCUCUCAUUUGGCGAAGAAGAGGAUGAAGAUGAUGACAAUUCAGAGAAAGUAAAAGAUAGUUUUGGUUCCCCACGCGGAAGCAUAAAGUUGGAGAGUGACUCAGAUACUUAGCAGGAAAAGCAGGCUAUGACGGGGAUCCAAAAUGGUGUAAAGGUUACUAGGUUUAAAUCUUGUCAAGUUGUAGCAGAAAAUAUCCAAAAGGAAACGUCUAAUCAACCGCCGACACAUGAAACUCCUCUUUCCAUCAAUGUGCGUCAUUUUGGGGUAGGUAGAGAGUUAGAGUCAACAACUUUGGAGAUUGUUCCAAGUCAACAUGCUUUGCAGAUAGACCCCUACAUCCAGGGCCAUGUGGGCCUUUUAGGUGUGCCUGGCCUACAAUCUUUUGGGCCAGAAUGUUCUCCUUUCCUUAUGAAGCCCAAACGAAAGUGUAAAUUUCUCAAAGAGUUGAAGGAUGGUCAAAAGCUUCUCCAAGCCCAUUUUGACUCUUCAUCCAAACUACUCUUUGUUGUGAGGCCUUUCUAUUUUUCUUCCUUGUUGAAUACUAAACCCAACAAACCCAAAUCCAUUUAGACUCAUUCUAAUCACUAUAUGUCUAGUUCGAUGAAAAAUUUCUCGAGAGGAAUGACACUAUGUUGUAAAUCUAUUUCAAAUAAUGAUGUUUUCCAAAUAAAUAGAAGAUUUUGGGAUAAUGAAAAUAAGGUAGUAGCUAUCAAAAUUUGGAAGAAGACGUCUGAUCUAGGAAUUAGAGGAGAAGAUGAUGAUAAAGCUUACAUUUCAUAAAUAAAAAGUUUGGAGAAGAUAGAUAGAGAAAGGAUUCAUUCAAAGGAAGUCACUAAAUCUGGUUUUAAAUGAAUAUUCUUUCAUUUAACAUUAGAUGAGCAGGGAACUCAACAAAGCAUAGAGCGAUCAGGGAGAUCAUUCGGUCCGAAAAAAUUGAUCUUUACCUGCUUCAAGAGACCAAAUUGCAACUUGAGGAGGAAGCUUUCUUGAAGAGGAUAUGGCACUAGCAUAUGAGCAUGGGAUGAUUUCUAGUUAAGGCAUGAGAUAAGACUGGAAGAGCGGACUAGUGCUAAUGAAGAGGAGCUGAGAUCUAUGACUGUUGCAGAGCUUACUACCGAAAGUGGUGAUUGGGCUUGGUGCUUGCUCAGAACUCAUAUGAAUCAAGACUUGAUUGAUAAAGUAAUCUCUAUACAACUUCAUAGAGCAUAAUAUGGAAAAGAUUAGUGUAUCUAGUAUGGAACUAAUAUUGGCCAAUUUACAAUCUCAAGUGCUUAUGCUACUAUCAUUGUAGACGGUGGUAGUUUGGACACAAAUCAUUGGAGAAGCAUUUGGAAGAUCAAGGUACCUGAGAGAGUCAAGUCCUUCAUUUGGUUGGUUCACCAAAAUGAAGUUAAAACCAAGCAGUUACUGCAUCAGAUGGGGCUUGGAGAUGUUGUGACUAUUUUAAUCAGGUAGAAUCCAUUAUUCAUGUGUUGAGGGAUUGUGAUGUGGUUCAAUAGGUAUGGAAGAAUCUGGUCAGACACAUCUACAAGGAGAAGUUAUUAAACUCUCCUAUGCACGAGUGGAUGGCUCUCAAUAUGACAAAGAAUUUAGGCAAAACUCAAAAUCAAGAAGCUUGAUCUCUACAUGGACGACAACUUUCCAUACAAUAUGGUAUUGGCGCAAUCAAAGAAUGCACAAUAAGGAUGAUGUCAUAUGCCUCAUAGUCUGCUUAAUUCUAUUCUUGCACAUGUGACUCAAUAUCGAGAGCGCAAUGUUUUGGAGUAAAAGAGUAAUAACAAAGCCAUAUUUGUCAGACAAGUCAAGUGGAAUCCACCUGAUGAUAAUUGGGUGGCGCUUAACACAAAUGGGAAGGUCCUUAGAUCAGGGAGAGUUGGGUGUGGUGGUGUCUUAAGGGACAACAAUGGGGAGUGGCUGACUAGUUUGUUAAAAACUUAGGCAAGUGCUCUAUGGUAGUCGCGAAUUGUGGGGAGUUUGGGAAGGAUUGAAGUUGACCCAAGUAAAUGGUUUAAAUUGAGUGAUAAUUCAAAAUGAUUUCUUGGAGGUUUAUCAAUUGCUAAAGGAAGAUAUUAACACUAUGAUGCAUGUAAGGAGCUUGCAGACAAACAUCAAGAGGCUCAUGAGAAAUAACUUGGAGACUAGAGUGAUACACAUUUAUAGAGAAGUAAACAAGUGUGCCGACGAGCUCACGAAAUUGAGGGCCUCUAGUGUGCAAGAUUUAAGCUUAUUUAUAGAAUGUCAUACAUGUGGAGUGUUAUAGUGUAAUCUCCCUUUUCUUUUGGACUUCGACCCUUAUUAAUUCAAAACAAAAUUGAAUGUUUAAAAAUAUUUGAUUUUUAUUUACAAAGAAGUCUUCCAAGCAUUAUGUUAGUUGGUAAACGAAUUUUCCUUUUACUUUGAUGUUUCAAUAUUGACACAUACAUUUUAAUUCCUUAUUAUGCUGGUGUUUUUAUGCAAUUGAAUUUAGAGAAUUGACUAUAUGUUUUAUUCACUUAAACAAGUUUUUUUAAUAUUCCAUCACUGUAAAUAAUUUUGCUUUCAAAAUGUUUAAUAUUGACAUACUUCUUUUUUAGUAUAUUUGAUGUUUUAAUAUGAAUAUGCAUUGAAGCUGAUAAAUUAUAUUGAUUCAAAUAUCGACAUUUAAUGAUUGUUAUAUUUUACCGUUGAUAAGAUUUUAUACCCUUAGUUUAUAUAUGAUUUAAUAUGACAUUUGAUAAAUUUAUGCAUCAUUGAAACUAAAACUUAAUUAUAGAUUUUGCAUUUUAAAAAUUAGAAUAAUUGUAUUAUAUUUGUUCAUGCCGAUAUAGGAUGGAGAAAUAACUAUCGAACAUAUUGCUACAAUAAUGAAGUAUGUUGUUAAAGCUACAGAUUAAAUUAGUUGACAGGUUUAUCUUGAGAUGUUUAAAGAGUGUUUUCUUUUGACAUUUUUAAUCUUAGAAAUCACAACUUUAGACAAAAGUAACAUCUUGCAUUUUUAUAAUUUAUUUAGUAUUAUUUUCAUUUUUUAAAAUAUUAAUUAGAUCAAACAUAAUUAUUGAUGGAUAUUAUUAGUCUCUAUUUAUAAUCGUGAAAAAUAUUUAUGAUUUAUAAAAUAAAUUGAAUAUUUGAAAAAUUAGAUAUUGGAAUUUUUUUAUUAAAAUAACUCAGUUUUUAAAAAAAAUUCCCAAAAUAACCCUGUUUUAAAAAAAAAAUUCACAAACUAUCCCACUUUUAGGAGUAGGCGCCAAUCCAAUUGGCGUCUCCUCUUAAAAAUAGAGUGCAAGCGCCAAUUGGAUUCGUUAGGGCACAUGGUGCAGCCAAUUCAAUUGGCGGCCAUGUGUAUGGUUUCAAAGGAGACGCUAAUUGGAUUGACACCUCAAUGUAUUUUUCAAUUUUUUUUUGUUAAACAGUCUACAUGAUACAUAAUUUCGAAAUAGGAUUAAUUCAUAUUAAUAUAAAUUCCCGUUUACACAAAAAAGACUAAUGUUGGUGAUCGGGAUCACCUAACCGAUCUCCGGUCCCGCAUCCCCUAGCUACCCGAACCUCUGGCCCUAACCUGUGUUGAUGAUUCACAACUGGUGUUUGAGCAUCUGAGGGGCCAGGAACAUCACUACCAACUACAGGAGAUUGCCUGUUGAGAUAGUCAGAUAAGUCAGCAUAGUCUUGAGUAUGCAUCGAAGGUGUACCGCCAUAACUGAGUUCAUGACCCAUGCCAGAGUAGUUGGGUUGUGUUUGACUUAUUGGUGGGCGACCAAAACAGUUGAAGGGAGACAUAGGUGUGAAUGAUGCGUCGAGGAAAGGUUGGAAAGAUUGUUGGGGUGUUUGGUAGAGAUAAGGUUGUUGAAGGUUUUGAUUUUGUGAGGUUUAGGCUUCUUGGCUAUGGUAGGAAGAGGAACAGUUGAUGUUGAAUGAUCGUUGAGUGUUCUGGCUAAUGAGACUUUGGUAGGGUGAUGUGUUGGGUGCAAAGCGAUGUUAGGUCUCUGGUUGAUGAUCUAUUUGUUGGUGGUGGUACAGGGUAUGCUCUUGGUAUUAUAGUUAGGUGUAUGGCAUGUUAGGGUUGUAUAUUUGUGUGUUUGUGGAACGGAAAGUUUGACGGAUAUGGGGUUGUGUGUAGUCGGUCUAACAAUGUUGUUAGGGGUUAGAUGUUAAGGAGUCUGGUGUGUAAGUUUGUUGGCGUGGGUCGUAUAGGUACAUAUCCUCGGUGAUGAACUCAAAACCAACCGAUCUGUACCAAGCCAUAUAAGUACGACUUGGUUUUUCUUCAUUUGGCAUCACCGCGUCAGUUAAGACAUGGUCAUGGCGGUGCUUCCAUUUGUGACACUCAGAUCUUGCGAAGCUUUGCCAUGGAUUGAAGUUCCAUUGGUUGUUAACUUUGCGCAUAUGCCAUUCUUCUAGGUUUAUUGGGGAAUCUAGGACGUGUUGAAGCAUACCGAACUGUAACUUCACACGAUCACUAUUGUACAUCUCCGCAGUUGUGAAUCUUAUUAUUGGUGUGCAUGCAGUCCAUACGGCUGCGUCUUCUUUGUUGACUUCAUGGUCAUGAUCCAAAUUUAGGUAUGGACGCCAAAUAAACUGAAAUAUGAAAGUAACUUAGAUUAUAAACUUGGUAGAAGAAGUUAACAAAUUAUAACGAAAUAAGGUUAUUAUCCAUACAUCUGUCGAUCGAAGGUGAUCCUAGAGAUUGCGAUACUGGGUAAUACAAUGUCUAGGACAUCUGUUAUAACUCAUACCAUGUUCCGACCAUCUGCACCAUAAAGGUAAAAAUCUUAGUUAGAGAUAAUAAUCAUUAAAGUAAGUAAAUGUAUAGCAUUUUAAACAACUUACUUUUGUGCAUACGGAAAUGUGAAAGGGUUAUUGUUAACGGGCACUAGGGACGGUAGUCUUGAUUGACCAACCCCAUGCUUGGAGGAAAACUGUACAUCCAGAAAAGGUAGAUGUGUCUUUGUGUGAAUUUUUACACAAAGAGCUAUAAAGAUAGGCCAGACAAGUGGAUCCCCAACUAUAACUUCCUAUUCUAUCUACAUGUCUUAGUAAAGGUAAAUACAUAACAUGCAUACUAGAACCACUACCUUCGGGAAAUAAAAAAGAACCAAUUAAAAGUAUAAUGUAACACCUAGUUUUUAUUAUUCGAGCCUCUUCGGUAGAAUGCUCAUCUAAAUUUAAACUGUUAUAAUAUGACUUAAGACGUGAAAGGAGUAUACCUUGACCUCUUGAGUUAUCAUCUAACAAAUCAGUAUCCAAGAGGUCCAUGAAAAUUGAAUUCGCAUAGUUGGUUUUACUAUUUACAGUUUUACCUUCAAUAGGCAGUCCCAAUAGCAUGUAGACGUCUUCUAACGUCACGGUACACUCACCGGUUGGAAACCAAAAUGUGUGUGUCUCGGGACGCCAUCUUUCGCAUAAUGCAAGAAUGAAUUUAUUAUCCACCGACCAAGACAUAAUUUUGCUUAUAUGUCCAAAACCGACGAGUUCGACAUACUGUUGAAUCAUCGGGUCCAUGUGGACAUAUUCGUGGACCCGAGUACGAAACCUUGAAACAUCCUAUAAAAUAAACAAGAAAAUACUUUACUAAGUUGAUAUGUUAUUAAAAGGUACUCUAGACAAAUAACAAAAGAAUAAAACACUUAUAUAAGUUGCUAUGUUUGCAACUGUUCCUCUGUGCGAUUCGUCCAUUGUGAGGAUAGACAUCUUGUCGAAGAUGAAAUAGGUUGAUGCAUAUGAAAGAGGUUGUUGUAGAUGAAAGAUUUGAUGUUAUAGAGGAAGUAGUGAGUGAUGGUGUGGAAGAAAUGUUAGAGUUACCUUCCUAUUUAUAGGCAAAAGUGUGGAGCAUAAAAAAAUGUGUUUGUAUGUGGUAGCCAAAUGAAUUGGCGCCCAUGUGCAUUUUUUACAUGGUCUCGCCAUUCAAAUUUGCGCCUCCAUAGGCUCAUGCAUGACAUACCUAGCUCUGCAUGCUUGGUUACUAGGUCUGCAUGCAUGCAAGACAUGGUGUAGCCAAAUUGAUUGGCGCCCACGUGCAAGGAUUGUAAGGAGGCGCCAAUUCAUUUGGAGCUAGUGCUUGCAUGUGUGACAUGCGGCUUUCCUCUCUAUUGUAUGCUGGACACAUCACUUUAGACUAGCUUGCAUGUUUGACACAUCACUUCGGACUAGCUUGCAUGUUAGACACAUCAGUUCGGACUAGCUCGCAUGUUACACAAGUCACUUAUCUAUUUAAGUGUCUUACUAUCAACAUGCAACAAUAAAAAAACAUUCAUCUGCAGCAAGAAAUUAAUUUUCAUCUGCACCAAAAAUAUUACAAUGUUAUCUUUACCGAAAUAUAGUGUCAAUGUUCACUGCAAUGGUGAGACAUACGAGUCUGAGUUAUACGAAUUUUGUUUUCGAAACACCGAUACCAUUCGACUUACGAUCAAGAGAAAUGCAAAUUUCUUGUAUUUGAAAAAAAGAAUACAAUCCUGCAUAGGAUCUGGUAUUGUGUCAAAGAUCACGUAUCAGAAUCCAAUAUUUUUUGAGAACAGUCAAUGCAAGUUUUUCCCGCUUAAGGUACGGGAUAAUGAAUAUGUUGAAUGCAUGUUUGUUAGUCAUGAACAUUUUGGCUGCAAUUGUAUUGAGUUGUAUAUUACUCUUCAACCAUGUAUACCAUCUCAACAAUCUCAAAUAACCAAUCAAGAUGAAUUUGAUUCACAAUACUCAGAUGACGUCGACCCAGAAGCAGAAGCAGAAGUAAAUGUCGUUGACGAAGAAGAAGAGGAGACCGAGAUACAGGUCGAUCAUAUGUUGAACAACAAUAUUGAAGAUGAUGAUCAACCAGCGCCAUUACCUCCUAGUCGAUGGGGCCACAUGACAAUAAAAACCUUGUGGAAUACAUGAACGACAUAUUCAAAGGCAUUAGAAAUCUGCCAAUAACUGCCUUGGUCAAAUCAAACUAUUAUAGGUUGGCUUCUACAUUCGCAACCAGAGGUGAAAGAUGGAGUGUGGUGUUAAUGUCUGAGAAAGUAUUCAGUGAGUGUUGCAUGAAAGUCAUGAAAGAGGAGAGCAUCAAAGCUAGCACAGACGCUGUAACAGUCUUUGACCAUCAUAGGCAAAAUUUCAGCGUGCAGGAAACAAUGGACCACAACGAGGGGAGACCAAAUUUAGCCUAUGCUAUCAAACUAAACAGAAGUUGGUGCGACUGUGGAAAAUUCCAGGCCUUCUGCAUUCCUUGCUCCCAUGUCAUUGCAGCAUAUACACAUACUCGCCAAGACGCUUACAACCAUCUAUCUGAUUUGUACAAGGCCAUCACCGUCAUGAAUGUCUAUAAUAAAAGCUUCUCGGUACUACCAAUGGAGGAAUACUAACCUUCAUAUGAAGGUGACAUAGUUUGACACAACAACGAGAUGCGAAGAAAGAAAAAAGGACGGCUAAACAGAACACGUAUCAGGACAUAAAUGGAUACGACAAAUAAAAUGAUAAGACUAUGUAGUAUCUAUCAUCAACCAAGACACAAUAAGAACAACUGUCCCAAUCGAGGAGCAUCAUCCGAGUCAUAAUCUUUUUGUAACAUUGAAUUUUUGUAACCUUCAAUUUUUAUAUAUCAUUAAGUUUUUUUACAACGAGAUUCACAACAAACAUCACUACAACAUAAGCAAACUGAAAACAUAAUAUUUCUAACUGAUUACAACAAUCAAAGUGAUGUCAUCUCGUCUGAACAUCAUUUCCCUAGCAUCCUUAUCAGUUUUCAUUCACACCAAACCAAAGAUAUUGUCGAGUCUCUCAAUACUUCUAAUUUUUUCCCAUUCUGGUAUUUUCUCAUCUAACCAACGAACCAGCUCCCUCUUCAGUUGAUCGAAAUUAGUAAUGUUCAAGAAGAGCAUCAACAUCUGAGGUUUGUCUCUCGUAUUAAUCAUCUUUCCAUAGCGGCGACAAACACCAAACAUGAUUGUCAAAUGAUGAAAUGAGAUGUGGAAAAAUGAUUUACACAACACCUCUAUUUAUAACAUUUUUUUUACAAGAUACACUGAUGUGUCAAUCCAAUUGGCGUCGUCUCCUUUCAAAAAAAUACACAUGGACGCCAAUUGAAUUGGAUGCACCAUAUGCCCUAGUCAAUCCAAUUGGCGUUUGCACUCUAUUUUUAAGAGGAGUCGCCAAUUAGAUUGACGUCUCCUCCUAAAAAUGGGAUGGUUUGAGAUUUUUUUUUUUGAAAAUAAAAUUAUUUUAAAUUAAAAAAUAUAUUAUUUUGAUAAAAAAUUCUAUAUAUAUUAGAACAGAUAAUAUCGAGAACGAAACCAAAUAUAUUUUAAUAGUUAUUAUAAAAUAGUAGUAAUACAAACAAAUGAUUACCUAAGAAUUAAUCUCAUAAUUAAAUUACAAAAAUGGAUAUACGUUUAAGAAAUAAACAAUUACUAAUUCCUUUUCGAAAUAAAUCACUUAAAAAAUGGUCCUAAAUUAAUUUUACUAUAAGAAUAAAACAUUAUUUUAUUGAAGUUGGAGUGUUAGUAUCUGGACUAUUGAGGUUAGAGGUGAAGGUGAGAGUGAAAGACAAAAGAAGUGCCGUUAUACUUUUGGUGUUAUCUAAUCGAUCCAACGACUUCUUCACAGCAGUCCCAUUCCAAAUCCAUAUCUCUCUCUCUCUCCUGAAAACUCACACACUCUUCUCUCUCUAACUUUCUCUACUUCCACAGUACCGAACCAGGUAAUUUUGAUCGGAUUCUCGAUAAUCAUUUCGGAAUCUUUCAUAGCUAAUCAAAACUUGAUUUGUGUUCAUUUUUUUCUUUUUCUGUAAUUUUGAUCGAUUCAUUUGUUUUAGUGGAGUAUGUAAGAACUGUUGUUGAUAUUUUGAUCGCCUUUGAGUAUGCUUAUUUAUUUGAUUGAUGAUUUUGUUGAAAUCAUAAUCUUCUUUGAUCAUAAUCUGAUGACUAAUUUGAGUGAUUCUUUUGAUUUAUUUUGAGAUUAUGAUAAGUUUAGACUGACUGAUUUGAAGUUAUUUACACCGACAAUUGUGAGAAUUUUUUUGCCACAUGUCCAUAAGCUGUUUUUAGCUUAUUUUGAAAAGCUCUCUGGGAUAUGCAACCAGUUUUUGGGCCUGUUUGGUUAAACAGCUUAUUUGUAGCUUACGGACACCGGAAACUAAUCACGAGUUUCAGUGUCAGUUUCGUCACAUCGUACACCAUAGUGACACAGACACGUCUUUUUUUUUUGUUGAGGUAUCGGUGUUACUGAGCUUAUUUAUGGAAGAUUGCAUAAGCUGUUUUUAUAACAAAAGAUGAAAUAUAUUUAAAUUGUUUUUAUAUAUCUUAUAAGUUAGUUUUCACUAGCUAUCUCAGAAUUUAAGAUUAAAUUCAAAAAAAUAUAUAAAAAAAAUGUCCUAAGCUAUUUUGAUAAAGUUUCUAAGAAAGUGUCGCAAAACUUAUGGCAGUAGAUAAACUCAAAUAAGUAAGCUAAUCCAAAGAGGCUCUUUGUUUCCUAAGUAGCUUAUACGUAAGCGCUUAUUUGAUAAGUGUGUGCUUAUGAGGUUAGCAAUUUAGCCCUUAGUUAAACUGUUUAUUUGAAUAGGGCCUUAUUAGGCUUAUGCUGACCAUGUAAACCGGUUUUAUGCUGUCAUCGAAUGAAAGACCACAAUUUUUUCAUGGCCUACCAUCAAUUUCAAAACACCUUUAUGAAAGUGGGGUAAUGUGGUAAAAUAGUGGAUUUUCAUUAGUGUAAAACUGGUUUUACUUGCACUAGUUUACAGUGAGAGAGUGCAUAUCCUCUAAAUACUUUUAUUUGUGGUUUUUAAAGCAGAAGUUUGUGUAAGUGAAUUCAUGAUGAUGAUGACUAUAGUUUUGUGAAUCACCGUACUUGACUGACUUGUUUCUUAUGGGUUUACUACUUUACUUCUGUACAGUAUCGAGUUUCAACUGAUUUUGCCAUUGGUUUGAUUUUGUUACUAGCUUCUGGUUCAAUGCCUUCUGUAACCUCACCUCAGUGGCAAGAUAAGGCUUCUGGUUUCUUUUCUUCCUCAGGUACCUUUCACUAAAUUUGUGCACUUUUUUCCUUUUCUUGUUUACUGUAUGGUCUUUGUUUGUGUCUCUAAUUGUUCAGAUAUAAAUUUAAUUUAGGUGUCAAGCUUAAAGAAGCUAGGGAGUCAGCAGGAACAUUUGUUGGUGAGGUCACAAAGGAUACAAAGAGUAAUGUAGCUGAAGUGGCGGGACGAGUUGGGACGAUAGUCAAAAGUCGGUGGGCACUUCUUCAGCAGCCAUCCACAAGACAUGCCGUACAGGAUCGAAUGAUAUCAGCUGCUGCUACAACUGGUGCGUUCUUGAGGAGAGGUUUGUCGGGGACAAAAGAAAAAGUGGUUGUGGGAAAGUCCAAGGUUGAAGAGGUAAUGUGAUUGUGUAAAUGAUUAGGGAUUGAGAUGUAUACUUCUUUAUUAGGACAUAAAUGCAUAGUGAUUAGGUUUCGUUUUUUCACCAUUUUGAUAGCAAAAUUUUGAAUACGUAAAAUAUAAUGAAAACAAUGUGGCCAUUUUUGUUGAUGUUAAUGAAAAUGUAUUAAAUAAAUUUGAAGCUAAAAAGCAAUCCAGAUAUUGUCUUUAUUAUUACCUCUGAUACUUCUCUUUUGUUUAAGAGAGUGCCUUAUCCAAAAUCACUCUGCAUUACAUGAUUCUAUCUGAUGAUGUGGAUAAGUUUUGGUUCGGUUAUAGAUAAGAUUUGUUUAAUUGUGUUGCUUGGAUUUAGGAGACAUUUGAAAGAGUUUAUUUUGCUUUAAAUGUGUGGAAGAACUUAUAUAAAUAGCUUAGAGCAAGCUGUCUUUCAAAUUACUAUAAUAAGCUCCCUAAGUGUUUGGAAGAACUUAUACAAAUAGCUUAAGGGUCUGUUCGGAUUAACUUAUUUGAAUUGAAUUUAUUUGUUGACACAAACACCUGUGAGACUGUUUGAGACACCUUAUUGAAACAACUUAUGAAAUGCCCAUAAGCUAUUUUCAACUUAUUUCAAUAAAAUGUUUAGGAUCUCUGAAAACAACUUAUAGCUUAUAUAAAAACAAUUUGAAUUUAUUUUAUCUUUUGCUAGAGAAAUAGUUUAUACAUACGUUAUAUGAUACUUAUGCUGUAAAUGCUAAAUUAAGCCGCUUAUUCAAACAUUGCCUAGAUACACUCAUAAGUUGCUUUUCAAUUUAUUUUAGUAAGCUCCCCAAAUCCCCUCUUCAAUUCUCAUCCAUCCUUAGAAUUUAUUCUUUGGAGUAAAUUGAGAACACAAAUAUCUUAUCUUAUCAAUGUACAUAUCCAAACGCAAAUAGUUUAUUGAAUUUAAGCAUGUAUGCCAUAAGCUUUCAUAUGAUAUAUUUUGAAUAAGUGCUUAGUUAAACUGUGUACGCAAAACCCCUUGGCAUUAAUUUUUAUUAAUUUUUUUUUCUUUCCCUGUUCUCUCUUUUCAUACUUCCUAUAUCUUUAUCCGUUAGUCAUAUACCAAGAUAGCACUAAUUCUAUUUUUUAUUUUUUAUGUACCAAGUGGAUGCUCAGAUACUUUAUUUUCUUCUUUCUUUGUUUUGGCAUCAUUAUCAAUUAUUCAGGUGGCAAAAGUAACAGCACAAAAGAGUAAAACUAUCUUGACAGACAUUGAAAGAUGGCAGAAGGUAAAUGACAUUUGUGACAUAUAUUUGCUACUGCUAGCAUAGAUCAUUCUCAAUUGUUCUAACUUUUUCUCUUUUCUUUUCAGGGAGUUGCUAGGAAUGAUGGUAAGUUUCUCAAACCACAUAGUUUGAUAGGCCCCUAGCCGAUGUCGUGGGUCAUGAGAAUCAGGGUGGUCCAAAAGUGUGUAUAGAAGGCAAGGGAAGAAGAAUGACAUGACGGUGGGAGAGAGUUGGCCUAGGAAAUGUUAGUUGGGUUCUGUUAUAUGAGAUUCGUUGGUGAGAGAGGAGUUAUCACAAAAAGUAUCAUUUCUGUUUUGGCUGAGGAGCCUAGCUCUGUUGGCAGUUGGGAGCUUUUCUCCCUUCUGCAUUUAUCUUUCCAUCAAUAAAAUCUGCAAAUCAUCCAUUGUUGAUCUCAUAUUUGCAUUACUAUUUGAUUGCUUGACUUUAGGUUUGCAACAUAUCUGAACAAGUGAGCUGUUCUUUUCAUGCAUCAAAAAUCUUUCACUGAGUUUGUAGAACUAUUUAGAGUCUUUUUGCUAACAAAGAGUAGUCCUGUUUCCCUAACAAGGAAUCUUGGGAUGAAUUCCAUUUUCACUUUUUAUCACUGCUUAUCUGUUAAGUUGCAUAUAGCAGUAUAUCAUGUUUUGUAUAGUUAAAUUAAAAAUUGGUGCCUGCCUGCAUUAUGAUAGUUAAUCAUUCAUAAUCUUGACCCCAGUAUUUGGAGUUCCAAUUGAGGUUACUGUACAGAGGCAAGAUUGCAUCAAGCCUAUUCCUCAGAUAUUGAUCAAAUGUGCAGAUUAUCUUAUAGUAUCAGGUAGCUUUUUCUAGAGUAAAGUUCUAUCUUCAUGUAUCACUCUAUGGCUCUGUUCAUUUCUGUUUUUUUCUUUUUUUCUUUUUUUCUUUUUUUCUUUUUCUUUUUGUUGUAUUUUAAUCCAGUAGUAAUCCCAUGACUGUAAUUAUAUGUAGGAUUGAAUCUGCCAUAUCUUUUUAAAUCUGAAGGGGACAAAAAGGUUAUUCACCAGUUGGUUUCCCUAUACAACCAAGGUAUUUGGAUCAUCCUUUCUGUAAUUGGUAGGUUAUAUAUCUUUAAACUUAGACAGUGAUAUAUUUGCUUUUAUUAUUGCAUGUUGCAGAUUCAACUGCUUCAGUGCCAGAAGGCUCAAAUCCAGUUGAUGUAGCAGCUCUUGUGAAAUAUUAUCUUGCUAGCCUUCCCGAGCCUCUGACAACAUUGGAGCUUUAUAAUGAGAUCAAAGGUGCUCGAUCCAAUAUAUAUUCCAUGAGAAACAUACUCAAGAGGCUUUCCAGUGUGAACUAUAUGACUCUGGAGUUUAUAACCGCCCUUUUGCUCCGUGCUAGCCAGAAGGCACUUCUCAAUAAGGUAUGCUUCUUCUGUAAGUGAGUAUGUGAGUAUUUGUUUGGUGGAAGUGGGAAUGGCUGGGAGAUUGGGUUUCCUAUAUGGACGAGCUCCAUUUUACUAUUUUCUAUUUAAUGAAUAUGUAUGGUGGAAUUGUGGCCCAUUUCUUUUUACUGUUUUUAUACACAUUUUCUUCCCUAGAAAUAUAACUAAGUAAUAGUAUAAUUGUUUUUCCCUUUUUUCUAAUGGCUUUUAAUGUCUAUGGAAGGAAUUACCUAAAAACACUACUCAUCGAAAUCCACAAAGAUGCUUAAAUUAUAUGUAACAAAUGUUGUAAUUGAACUUUCACCAAACUCACCAUAAAAAGACAAACAUUGAACUUUCACCAGAGGGAUCCAACAUUGCUUGUCUGUUGUAAUUGUUUGUAACAAAUGUUUGAGGCUUCUAUGGUCAGUAAACACCUUGAAGCUUCAUUCCUAGAAAUAAUUCCUCCAAUGUUUAAUCGCCAUUACCAAAGCUAUGAUUUCCUUUUCAUAACCAGGGUGAGAGGGCUUUGCUGAAAGAGGCAAUGGGCCUAUUUUUCUGCAUAAGAACAGCUUCAAUUCCCUUGUAUGAGAGAAUACAUGUCACCUGUUUUACAUCUGGCUUCACUUUAUUAUUUCUUAACUGUUCACAUUAGUUAAAUUCAUUUUCUCAUAAUUCCAGUUUAGAUUCAGAUUAUCUCUGAUUUUACACAUUCCCAAAUGCAUCAACUCCUAGUAGGUAAAUCCAGUAGACACCAAAAAGAAGCCAAGCAUUGUUUGAGGCGCUGAAAGGCCCACUACUUUUCCUCCCCCAGCUUAAACCUUCCUUCUUAUUCAAAGCAGUUACUGGCUGAGUAAUCUUGCAAAGUCUUUAAUGAACCUUUGAUAAUAGUCGGUGAGUCCAAAGGACCCACGCACUCUUUAGCAUGAGUGUAGGGACUGGCAAUCCACGAUAGCCUGGACCUUAGAUAGACCAAUCUCAACUCCAUGAGCAGAAAUUAGAUACCCAAGGUACUCGAUCAAUGUCAAACAAAACAAACACUUGUUGUCAGUGACAUACUGAUGGAGAUUGCUAAUACAAGGCGAAUAAGAUGAGAGGGCCAUAUGGGCGUGUGGGCCAGAAUAUUCUCAAAAUGUGCCAUCACACACUUCCUCAACAAGGGUCAAAACAUUCACAGUGGAUUGAAAAGUGGACAGGGCAUUUAUGAAUGAAUCUGAAGGAUAUAACAAAAUUUUGAUAGUGACCUUAAUGUAUUCUUAAGGAACCCAGAUUUGAGAUCUAUCUUGUAAAAGUAAUGGGAAUUGUUGAGAUAUGGCAUGAUUAAUAGAAUAUUUGACGAGAUAAUCUCUCUCUUAUUUCCUCUUCUAUGGUAAUAUAUCUUAUUUAUAUGUACAUAAUAACUCUAUGCAAUUAGAUAGAAAUAUGAUAGUUAAAUUCCUAUAAUUAAGGGAUUCCCUUUGUAUAGUUUCAUCAUUAUAAGUGCAAAAUACUCGGUGCUAAUCUCUCGAGCUAUUCGGCACCAAAUCCCCCCUCCUCCUCUGCACCGUAUCCUUAUUUAAUGCCCUGUAAUCAACACAUCCUCGAGAUCCAUCCUUUUGUUCUCUAAUCAUUGACAUAUUUUCGGUUGGAAAUAUCCCCUUAAUUAUUGGAUCAAGUGACACGUGUUCCUUUUCUCUAACCAAUUUGUUGACUCCACUUUGAUGACUUGCUUUUCUCUAUUGAUAGCAUAUCAGUCUCUCCCACACAGGAUGAAUCAUGUCUUUCCACCAUUCUGACAUCCUCAGCUCAAUCUAUGACUACUCUGUACAAAAGUCCCUGCAAUACAGUAGUAUGAUGCUUAUCUCUGAUGCAAUAUUCAUUCAGUGUAAUAACUCAGUUAUUUUCUUCAAAACUAAUAGUCUUCUGUUCCCAAUCAAUGAUGGUUUUUCCAUUGGUCUCUAGCCAAUCAAUCCCCAAAAUUAAGUCUUCUACCCCCAGGUCGAAAACAUAAGUCUCUGAGCAUAGUCACUGCAAAAAUAUGAUUCAGAAUAUACUUUUAUUUCAGAAUCAGAAUUAUCCCAAUCUCUUUCAAUGAAAAAUCUUAUUAACAAAUCUUUUAUAGUGAGGAACCUCAUUUAUAUUACUAGACAGGUUCUGAAAGCAGAAUAAAGUUAUCUAACUAACACUAGCUGUUAAAGUUACAGUUAGUUAAGUUUCAUGAAGAUUCUUGAGACCAGAAAAGAAGUUUCUAGAUAUACUAAUGCGCAAAGAAGUUUAAGAAAAAUACUGAAACAGAAGCCAUUGAUUUCAACUAAUUAAUGUAUUUUUACUUUAUAUUCUUCAGGAUUGGGUUUGUUCCUGGUUCACUUUAGGCUUUCUUCAUAUGGUCUUAUUUUGGGUAUUCGUUGUUUGAUUAAUAUUUUUCAAUUUUGUUUUAACUUGAAGAAUUUUCUCUGUUCAGUAACUUUUUUCUCUCCUAUUCUAGUCUUCUUUUUCCCCUCGAUUUAGCAGUGUUUUCCAAUUUUCAUAGCUUGCUUUGCCAUAAUUACAAACCAUCACUCCCUGAUUAUGAUCAUCAUGGUGCUUUACAGUUUGUGUUUCCCUUCAAGUACCUUAAGAACAAUCGUACUGUUAUUACUUGUUAGAUUCUACAUUCAAAUUAGUUUUGAUCAGCAUGCUCAACAUUGUUUGAUUUUGUUCAGAUGGACUCUCGGAGCCUUGCAUUGGAAAUGGCACCUGUUAUCAUGUGGCAAAAGGAACAUAGACCUGAAUUUUAUCGUCAAUACUGGAGUCAAGUGUCAGAAAGUCCUUCCAAACAGAACUUGGAUCCAGAACCUGGUUCAACUACCUGGGACUUGCUUGCUGGUAUGGAAAAUGUCACCUAAACAUAUAAAUAUUUUGAAGAUAGUAACGAUACAGACAGAGAAUAUAGUUCAUUAUGUCGGCUGUGACUGUGAUGAAAAGUUAACUAUAGUCUUCGUUAGUCAUAGUUGUCUAAAGGGAUUUGAAAAAUCAAAUCGUUACUCCUACAGACAUUGAACUAUUCAAUGUUUUCUUAAUAACCUGACCUGAAAAUGCAUUAAAAUGAUGUCAUUGUUAUUACAGAGGCUAAUAGUCAAUUUUAUAAUAUUCUGGUACUUUUAUUACAGUGUGGUUGAAAUAUUUUUUGCUAUAAACCACUUCUGGGAUCUUCUUUCUAAAGGGUGUAGCGUAGCUUUGCAUUUUAAAAUUUGCUUGAAAUUGUACUUUGAACUCGUAUGAUCAACAUUGCAUGCUAAUCACAAUAUCCUGGAAGAGUGAAAAUGUUAGUUCAACUGUCGUUUGUUUUUCUUCUAUUGACCUAAAACUUGGUUUGCAUUGGAUCAGUGCUGAUCAGAGAUUACCAUUUAUCUUAUUUUCUUGUUUCUUUUGCUGCAGACGACGGUGAAGCCAUAGAUGCAUCUUCUUUUAUUCCUUUGGAUGAUGGCAUGCCAGUUGACUAUGGUGCAAUCGAGGUUGUUCAGUUGCUCAUAGAACAUCAUAAUGCAGUCUUCACUGAUGCCAAUGAGACAGUUUGGAAAUGAAUGAUCAUACUCCUUAUCCUUCAUUGAUUCUUUGACUAGGAUGUAUUGAAUCUGAAAUAAUGUUCUCCAAUCCGGACAUGAGGAUAUCAUUGUAUAGCAGCUGUCUUUAGGCUGGGAAAUAUGUUGGAUAGUGGUCCAGUAGGGUAUCUGAUUUUCUAGGUCUUUUACAAAUUUUUGGUGUGUGGAGGGAUAUUGCAAAAGCACUGUACAGUUACUAUCCACUACCUGCAGAAAUUCUCAUCACAAAUGUGCUGUUAUAUUGUUGUCCUAAGCUUGAAUAAUGAUGAUUGAUCUGUUUAUAGUUUAGAUAUGUAUGAAGGUCAGUUUGAUGCACCCACACAGUUUUUAUGAACAUUUAAAAUACGAUUCGUUCUUAGGACCUUGAAAUUCACAGUAUAUGUGCAGCCAGACACUAGUUUCCAUUCACUAAUUUUUUAGGAUGUCGUGUAUAAUCAUUGAAGGAAAUUUUGUUCAAGUUCUACUUCAUUGGUAAUGGUAAGUUGGUAACUAAACAUGGAAAUAGUUUGAAUAUUAAGGUAUUAAAUAUGACACGAAACUAGUUAGAUAUCAUGCAUCUUCAGGUUUUUCUAUUAAAAUCAAGAAACCUGAAACAAGUUAAUGCAUUGGCAUACUUGGCAAAGACCAUACAUGUAAAAUAAGAGCUAAAUGACUAUUACUAAGCAAAGUAUUCAAAAAUCUCAUUUGAGAUAUCCUUAAACAAGCAGUUUGAGCUUGUACUCUGAGAAUUUUCUUCAAGUCCAAGCUUCUGGCUCCACACAGAGUCUGAACAUUUUUUCUGCUCAAACAUGUCCAUGAAACUGGGAUCAAAGGGCUCUUGAACAAGGUCAUGGCACUCUGGGAAUGGCGGAAAGUCCAUAUGCGGUUCUGGGAGUAGAGGAAAGUUGUACGCUGACGAAGAUUCAAACGACGGUACCGUGUGAAGUGGAGUAGCCUCAAACUCAAUUCCAUUAAUGUCACUUUCCAUAUUUUGGUAGUUUGGUUUUGUCAAAUCUGGUAGGUUUACCAUCUUGAACACCUCUUUGUUUCCCAUACGAGAAGUAGGGUAAGUAAAGUUUUCCUCCAGCUGAUUAGAACCACAUUCAGGAACCUGAAACAGACAUUUUCACCAUCAAACUAGUACAAAAACAACACAAAAUCUGUUUAGUUUCUACCUAACCUUUUCAAUUUUCACUUGAUUAUUAGGAACAUCUUUUCCUUUGUUUUUCUGCUGAAUUCGCGGUGGCGAUGUUGUCCUUGGAGACGACCUCUCCAUCCUUUUUCUCCUGCUACUCCAAAAGUUCUUCACAUCAUUGUCUGUUCUCCCUUCCAAAUACGUAGCAAUUUUCGCCCAUUUGUUUCCGAAUUGCUCCUGUAAUUCAAUCACCACCCUUUCCUCCUCUGCUGAAAACUUGCACCCUCUACAAUUCAAAUCACACAUUCCAAACUUUCAUCAUAAAACAAAACAAUUUUCAUAUAUUCUGUUAUUGUUUUACAAAUUGACACAAACUCCAACGCCUAACCAAUAAUUACAUCUAUAAACAAUUUAUCAACACCAAACAUAACAUUAUUACAAAUACAAAUUCUUCGAUUAUUCAAUGAAUUAAAAAUUAAAAAAAUAAACUAUUACUUAUUAUAAUGUAUCGAUGUAUAUAUUAACAUUUUGUUGGAUAUCAUUUGUCAUUGUACAAGAUGACCAAUAAGAACCUCUGUAGCACCGGCACCUCUAAAAAAAGAUGUGUCUGCAUUAGUGUUCGAAAUCGACACUGACAUUUAUAAUUUCCUUUGUUUUAUUUAUUUUUCUUCAAAAUUAUUAUUGAUGUUGACGUAUCAAUGUCAGUGUCGUGUUUUAUGUAUAGGUAACAAUGAUGAAUGUGUAUCAUGUGUAUGUGUAGGUAGCAAUGAUAAACAUUAUAUUAAACUUAAACUUAAUGAACAAGUAAGUUUUGUCUAAUUAGACAACCAUAAAAUAAGCACAAUACACUAAAAACAACAACAAAAAAGUAGUAACAGCAUGAAAUAUCAAUGUUGAUGUUAAAAUCAAGUGAACUGGAAAUAAAAAAGGUUAAGAAAAUUGUUACUACGUUUUCAAGUUUGGUCUAAGCUUGUUAACCCAUCUUAACCGACAAGAUUUUCCUGUUCUUGGCAAAAGACCUUUGGAUCGAAUGGAGCUCCAAUCCCUUGGACCAUACUUGUUAACAUGUUUCAGUAACACUUCAUCUUCUUCACUACUCCAUGGUCCUUUUUUUAUGUAACCUCUUUCAAAUUCUCUUUCCAUGGUUUUCAAUUUUUUUCAUUCAUUUGAUUUGAUCAAUUGUUUCUCCUUUUUCUUCUUCGUUGAUUUAUCGUGUGAGAAAAAAAUUUGAAAUGAAAUUGACGGUUGUGUUAUUGUGUGGUAGGGUUCAUGGUAAUGGGUGCACUUGUCCACGUGGAGGGUGUAUAGGAUUUUGUUUUGUUGGUGUGUUAUAUGGUGGACUGUUAUUGGUUUUUGUUAUAUGGUUAUGUGGAUUGAAUGCAUGGGAUUUUUAUUUCCACUUCCACUAUGAACGGUUUUGACGGUUAGUGGGAACACCCAUAACCCCGCCAAUUCUUCCAUGUUUUGAAAUUAUAAUAACAAAUUAAAAUUAGUUUUUUAUUUAUUUUAUUCUUACAAUUAUUAGGUCUCUCUCUCUCACUAUAUAUAUUAUCAUAUAAUAUAUAUAUUAUAUAUAAUAUAUAUAUAAAUAUAUAUAUAAUAUAUAUAUAUAUAUUGAUUUAGAAAGUAUUAACAUAAUCUUGUUAAAUACUAUGGAAAAUAGUGAUUUAGAAAGUAUACAAGGCGUAGACUUCGACAGUUAAGAAAAUGUAACGAAAAUAACGAGAUUUGAAAGUAUAAAAGCAAUGUAAUUAAAUAAAACUGAAAAUAAAUUGGCAAGGCAAAGUAAAGUGAAAUUUAAAGACUUUGCAUUGAAUGUAAAUAUGAUAUUUCAUUGUGAAUACAUUCUCUCAGCCAUGACUCUUUUCUCUGGACGCUGAUACUUCGAGUUUUAAGUGAGAUUUCUGUAGUAAAAUGAACACACAUGAAUUCUACAAAAGAACUCCUAUAUAUAUGAAUACAAAAAUAACUACUCCUAACGUUCCUAUCUUCAGUGUUGGUCACGUAAAGUAUUGCACGUGGUCUGCCUCUACGCUCUCUCCACAUGUUCUUCAGAAAGAAACCUCCAGGUAGUUAUUCAUGUUUGGAUGUAACAUCUGCACGCCCAAAUAACUGCCUCUUCGACACUCUCGAAGUUGUCGAACUCCACGCGGUCGAAAUGUUGCCAUAAUAUUUCAAAACACUAAGUCCCAAAUAUCUUCGACUCAAGACUAUUCUUUAGGCAUACAUCAUUAAUGUAUUUGUAGCUUUGCCUCUUGCUGAGAUUUUUACCCUUGUCGAAAAUCCCAGCUAACAAAUCCCCCCCACGCACAAAAAAAAGGCCUUUUACGACGAACCUAAGAGAUAUGGGCAUUUUUUAUCUUUCCAGACACUAUUCACCUAGUGGUUUGACGUCACUAUCAUCAUGAAAUUUCUUUCAACCGUCACCUCGAAAACGUGUGCUUUCCACUAUCCCACAACUCUACUUAUUAUGGCUUCAAUUUCGUAGGGUUACGUGUAGCAGGUCGUUUCAAUCCUUCCUCUAGGGAACGACACGUGCCACCUGCUUUGCGCCAUUUGUCAAAAGUGAAGACUGAAGAGUUUUUUAUUCCUUACUAUAAACACCAUUUCCUUCAUUUUCCAACUCUUUUCCACUAUCUUCUUCAGCUUCUUACCCAGAAAAACUUUCUCCUUCCAACGUUUCUCCGAAUUUCUCAAACUUUCAACAAUGGCUCAUUCAACAAAGAACACUAAGGCGGUCAAAGGUCCACUCCCCAUGGCCAACAUGAUCCCUUGUGCUACAGUUGUUGGAAAUUAAGAAUACGUUCAUGAACCUCCAAACUACGAGUAAAAGUUGCGUAUUUACAAAUCUCAAGUACUCAUUCCUUACACAUUUCUGAAACAACCCAUGCCCUUAUGGGUCCUAUGCAUGACCCUUCUGAAGAUCUUACUAAGCUUAGAGAUUUUUCCCUACUUAUCAUAGGACAAAACCUCUACUUAUCAUUAAGGGACCCAUGAAUCUAGAAUACCCAACUACUACUCUACGAGCCUUUCGCUCAGCUCCCCAACCAAAAAACAUGAUGGUUACAUCUUUUGGUUUGACAAGAUAGAAUAAAAAAUGAGUGAAAUAUGAAAAGAGAGAGGUAUCUUCGACUUGAUCCAUCUGUCGAGAACCGAUAUGGCAUACUGCCAAAACAUGUUAGUCGCGUGCCUAUAUUAUUGGGAAAGUACCAUAAACACCUUUCAACUUCCUUGUGGAAUGUUUAUAUCCACGCUCUUUGACGUGGUGGUGUCAUACCCCAAAAUUUGCCCAUUAAUCUUGCCAAACAUUCUCGAGGCACCCCAACUUAUUCUGCAAGGCACUAACCUUAAAGGGACAAGAGGCCCAGCUCGCAACAGGCCCAAUCCAGAAAAUGGCCCAAACUGGCUGUCGCUAGGCGAGCAAUUUCCUUCGUCUAGCUGCACCCCUCGUUCAUGACCUCGCCCAGCGAAGACGAUCCAGAAAAAGCCCAAACUAGCUAGCUCGCUAGGGAGCCACUCCUUCGCCUAGCACGCUUGCGAAUAUCAGAAUUUCUGGCUUCAUUGCUGAGCCCAUUAGUCACAACAAGAGAUGUAUAUAUAAGCAACUUAGUCACGAAACAAGGAAAACGACGACGGAAACCUGCACAGAACCCUGGAGCCAGCUUAAAGAUCCGAGUAAAGAAACCUUAAACGGCGCGUCAUCCGCUCCGAGCUACCCCGCCAAUUCAUCCAUACCAGAGUGGUCAGUCCCUUCAACGCAGCUCGGUUGCAAACAGUUUGCGUAUCUCUAAUGUUUUAUGCUUUUAUCGAUAUCUCUACAUACAUAGGCUCAUGAUUAAUUUUCGGUAUUAUUUGAUUCACAUGCGAAUUUAAUAUUGCUUAAUAUCUGAAUGUUUGUCAUGCUAUUCUGUAAUUCAAUGCUACAAAUUCAGGUUCCGAUCAUCUGCCAUCAAUUCAAAACAGCCAGCCGCUCGCAGCACAUCGCUAAGCGGCUUUAGCGAGCACUCGCUAGCCUUCGCUAGGCAAGCAGAGCAACGAACGGAGUGGCUGUUUGUUUCUUUUCUGUUCUGCUUAUGUUUGUCUAAUCAAGCUUCUCUAAUUCUGCAUAUUUGGCUUGACUUUAGACUGUUGUGUUUUUUAUGUGCAAUUUUCAAUUGUACUUUACCUCGGUCCUCUAACCGUGUGUUGAAUUGUUAACGUUUACAUUCCGAGAAGCGCGGCUAGGAUAUCCCACUUAUGUGUGGGAUAUCCCUAUGGAGAUGGAUUCUGAAUUACUUAAUUUUAUGUGAGAUUCAUCCUAAUCUUGUUGAUUUUAUGUAUUUGAUUUCAUCGAUUUAAUGUGGACCUAAUACCUAAUUC
rnacentral:lncRNA from 1 species